rfam:Bernardetia litoralis DSM 6794 chromosome, complete genome.
GGUUGCGUGGCCGAGCGGCUAGGCAAUGCUCUGCAAAAGCAUGUACAGCGGUUCGAAUCCGCUCGCAACCU